UGGAACGUUUAUGAUAAAGUGUUUCACUUUUUGACUACAGUUAGGUGCGUUCAGGCAGCUAAAGCAAUGCAAGAUUGUCCGAAUUCACUUCAGUCCGACGACCGUAGUCAAACAGUGUUGACAUCAUGGGAAAAGCAGUGCUCACGUCGAUUGUUCUGCUUGGAGCCAUACUUGGCUGCCGGGCUCAAGCCGAGACCGUAGUUCGGGACGUAGGAUUCGGUGAAUAUCCUUCGGUAGUGUUUGUCAGUACUCCGCGCGAUCAGCGAUGCAUGGGCACGGUGAUCAACGCCAACCACGUCUUGACGUCCGGUACCUGCGUCAUGACCGAUGGACAGGCUAGAAUUUAUCCGGCCCGUUUAGUGCAAGUCGUUGGAGGAGAUCUGUCCGUUACCAAUCCGGUCGUCACUCAGCAGACCCGCGUGGCGCAGCACAUUUUCGUGCAUGAAAACUUCCGCCCUCGUUCAAACGAUAACAAUGUGGCUAUUAUACGUCUUGCCGAGCCCUUUCACCUGCCGAGCAACGCCAUUGAGGAGGCUCACAUUCGGAUGAGCAUCGUACCGCAAGGGCAUCAGUGUGAUGUUGUGAGAGCGGCUUUAACGGGCAACCCCGUUCUGCAGGCCUACAAUGUGCAGAUUCGCAACCGAAAUAUUUGCGAUAGUUGUUGUAACCAAUUAUUUCGCGAUGAAAGUAACAUAUGCACUGAGGAAAUCACCAUCAUUGAUAAUUUGUUGCAAGGCGAUCCAAUGUUUUGUGACAGAGAGUUGACGGCUAUCGCGGCCACCGUUGUUUCCACUGGUCAAAUACGACGCUUUCAUUUUAACCAAGUACGGUUUUUCACGCACUGGAUACAACAGCAGCUAAUACGUACGCAACCGAUGCCGGAAGGAUGGAGUCCAAAUGGCGUGCAAAUAACGAUGAAUAAUGAAUAACAAUAAAAAAAUACGAAAAACAAUAAAUUUAAUCUGAGGUGCACCCUAGUUGUUGAAAUAGUAUUUAAGAGGGAAGCAUGUUUUGUGUAGGAAACGGUUUCGUCUGACCUUUCAGCAGACGCUCAUCUUAACUUAUCUGAACUAGGGUAUGGUUCCUUGACCACAAGAGUUUUAAUUUAUGACUAGCAAUCAAAAGGCACUUUGCUCGCCAUCGGCAAACUUUCGUACAGCCGUAAACUCUAUGAUAAGCAGUUUCCCAUCUAUCGAUGUUAUUAAUCCAAAUGCGAAUUACUACCAAAUCCAUUCUACUACUAAUAAUCAUUCAGUUUGCAGCAACUACUCAUACAGUGUCGAUGUCAUGGGAAAAGCAAUGCUCUCGUCGAUUGUUCUGCUUGGAGCCAUGCCUGGCUACCGGGGUCAAGCCGAGACCGUAGUUCGGAACGUUGUUUUUGAGAAUAUCCUUCGGUAGUGUUUGGGCACGGGUUUUUUCACUAACUUCAGAAAAACCUACCUAAUUUAUAAAUUGAUAUAAUAGCAGUGAGUAAUAACCGUUGCUAUCCAUGGCAGGUCAACCCGCAAACUAAUGGUAACAAUAUUUGUUAAUCUUCCUUUUUUUGGUAUCUGGUGCAGACAUAUUAUCAAGCAGUCUUGCUACAGUGUUUAGUCGUUUUAUUAGCAUUAACGAGACAGCAGACCACAUGACCACAAAAGCAUAAACUUGGAGAAAGCAAUUAAAAAAAGCGCUUAAUGUUAGGCUCGAUACGAACUCAAACAGCAUACAUUUUGUGCUAUCACUACGUCAUCCACCACGAUUUAGUCACAGCGAAAUGUGUGCAUUUAGCACAGAGAGUAGCACCAACGAGACUUUUGCGAUAAUUAUAGAGCCCUGCAACAAUCUGUCGUUGCGCAUUGCUUCAGUAGCUCGAAGGACCUACGGGACCUCCAAACAUACCGGAUAAAGAUACUUCAGAACAGAUUGAAUCACAAAAUAGUUAAACUGGGAAUCAGUUGAGGAUUAAAAGGCUGUGUGUGACACUAGAAAGCUGCUUUUGUGCCGUACCAAGUGUUCCGUUUACACUUUACACUUACCAUUUUAACCUACAUGAUAAGUAAAACAAAGCAAACACUGUGAACUUUAAAUCAUAACGAUAUCUGUUUUAACUUGAAUGCCAUGUCUAUGAUAAGCAGUUUCCCAGCUAUAGAUUUUAUCGAACCGAAAGCUAUCUGUUACCAAACUUCCCCUUCAGUUUGCUGUAACUAGCCAUACAGUGUAGACAUCAUUAUGAAGACUGCGUGCGUUACAAUAGUGCUCCUCGGCACCAUUGUUAGUAGUUUGGCCCAAACCGUCGUUCGGAACGUAGGAUUUGGUGAAUAUCCUUCGGUAGUGUUUGUCAGUACUCCACGCGAUCAGCGAUGCAUUGGCACGGUGAUCAACGCCAACCACGUCCUGACGUCCGGUACCUGCGUCAUGACCGACGGGGCGGCUAACAUUUAUCCGGCCCCUUUAGUGCAAGUCGUUGGAGGAGAUCUGUCCGUUCCCAAUCCGGUCGUCACUCAGCAGACCCGCGUGGCGCAGCACAUUUUCGUGCAUGAAAACUUCCGCCCUCGUUCAAACGAUAACAAUGUGGCUAUUAUACGUCUAGCCGAGCCCUUUCACCUGCCGAGCAACGCCAUUGAGGAGGUACACAUUCGGAUGCGCAUCGCACCGCAAGGGCAUCAGUGUGAUGUUGUGAGAACGACUUUAACUGGCAGCACCGUUCUGCAAGCGUAUAAUAUACAGAUUCGCAAUCGAAAUCUUUGCGAUGAUUGUUGUUUCCUGUGGAUUCGAGAUGAAAGUGACAUUUGCACUGAGGAAAUCACCAUCAGUGACAGCCUGUUGCAAGGUGAUUCGAUGUUCUGCGACGGAGAGUUGACGGCAAUCGCAGCCCAUACUGCUAGUGAUGGUCAAAUAAGACGCUUUCAUUUCAACCAAGUACGGUUUUUCACGCACUGGAUACAGCAACAGCUCAUUCGUACGCAACCGAUGCCGGAAGGAUGGAAUCCGAACGAUUAUUGAGGGAAGAAACACAUGUAACAGACGGUACCUUUCAAUUACAACAUUUGUUUUUCAAGUGAUUUGUAAUAAAUGCCCAGCCUAGCUAACAUUAAA